CCAGCAGACUCUCCCUCCCAAACCCUCCUACUUCCUGGACAGCAUCCAUGUUGAAAGCCAAUGUUGAAACAUGGAUGCUGUCCAGGAAGUAGGAGGGUUUGGGAGGGAGGGUCUGCUGGAGAU